AUUGAACGCUGGCGGCAGGCCUAACACAUGCAAGUCGAGCGAGCGGCGGACGGGUGAGUAAUGUCUGGGAAACUGCCUGAUGGAGGGGGAUAACUACUGGAAACGGUAGCUAAUACCGCAUACCAUCAGAUGUGCCCAGAUGGGAUUGGCUAGUAGGUGGGGUAACGGCUCACCUGGGCGACGAUCCCUAGCUGGUCUGCGAGGAUGACAAGCCACAGUGGAACUGAGAAACGGCCCAGACUCCUACGGGAGGCAGCAGUGGGGAAUAUUGCACAAUGGGGGCAAGCCGGAUGAAGCCAUGCCGGGUGUGUGAAGAAGGCCUUCGGGUUGUAAAGCACUUUGAGCGGGGAGGCGUUACCCGCAGAAGAAGCACCGGCUAACUCCGUGCCAGCAGCCGCGGUAAUUC
rnacentral:rRNA from 1 species